UGACCCCCCCCCUCCCUGGGUCAACUGAUCACAACUGACCCUGACCCCCCCCUCCCUGGGUCAACUGAUCACAACUGACCCCGUGUGUUGCACUCAUGCAAAGAGCUUGGCUUGUGGCAAGGCCCCAGCAGGUCAGACCCAGCACGUAGGCCCUGUGGUAGGCCCUGUGGAAGGCGUGUGUGCUCGUUAUUAACGGAUUGUUUGGGAGGGCUACAGUUUAAUGUUCGUACAACAGCGGACUGAGGUUUUGAUUGUACAAUAAUUGUUGGUGAUUGUUUGUUGACACAAUUUUAUGUUGAUGGAACAUGAAUGUUAUUUUGAAGAAUAUCAUUUCUUUUUUUUUACAUUUUAGAUUAGUUACACUUACAGAUGUCUGUCAUCCUCACAUAAUGCCCCAGAAACCAUCAGCUUUUCAAUACAUGACAUACCAGGGCCAAACAUACAGCCUUGCUAAAUUGAAUAAUUUACCCUUUUGAUUUAAUCUUAUAAUAGCAUGUAUAGAAUGUUUGGAGGGCAUAUUGAUAAAUAAUAAAUGUUCAUCUUUUCAAUA